GAAAUCUUACCUGGGUUGAAGUUAUCAGUAGCAGCUGCAAGCUCCUGGUAGUCAAAGCUCCUCCAAGAGGGCCUUCCCCUUCUAAUCUCUGCUAAUCAAGCCACCAAUCAAAGUCCUCCACUGCAAGCUGUGGGACUCCAACACUGUUCCAUCUGGAGCAAUUGAUCGGUCCCCCGACAAAGUAUCCCUGCUGAUGCUGCUGCUGCUGCCGACAUCAGAAUCUGCACUAGAUAUUGGGAUCUCUAGCACACCACGAGGGGAGUUCUGAUCAGAGCUAUUGCUGAUAUUAUCAUCAGGCUUUGCUUCUGAGCUUUUUCUGUUUUCCCCUAUUUCUGAUUGAUGGAAAAAAAAUGAUUGCAAAUUGUUUUUAAACAAGGGGUAGAAACUAAUAAAAAUCUGAUCUUUUCUUGACU